rnacentral:rRNA from 1 species
UACGUAGGGGGCAAGCGUUGUCCGGAUUUAUUGGGCGUAAAGCGCUCGCAGGUGGUUCGAUGCGUCGUGCGUGAAAGACCCCGGCUCAACUGGGGAGGGUCGUGCGAUACGGUCGAACUGGAGGCCAGUAGGGGGAUGCGGAAUUCCGGGUGUAGUGGUGGAAUGCGUAGAGAUCCGGAGGAACACCAGCGGCGAAGGCGGCAUCCUGGACUGGUCCUGACACUCAGGAGCGAAAGUGUGGGGAGCAAACGGG